AGGGCCAGCCGUUUAAAAAAAGUCGUAGUCUGGGUGAAGCUUGCACCAUAACUUAGCGGCGGACGGGUGAGUAAUGCUUAGGAAUCUGCCUAUUAGUGGGGGACAACAUCUCGAAAGGGAUGCUAAUACCGCAUACGUCCUACGGGAGAAAGCAGGGGACCUUCGGGCCUUGCGCUAAUAGAUGAGCCUAAGUCGGAUUAGCUAGUUGGUGGGGUAAAGGCCUACCAAGGCGACGAUCUGUAGCGGGUCUGAGAGGAUGAUCCGCCACACUGGGACUGAGACACGGCCCAGACUCCUACGGGAGGCAGCAGUGGGGAAUAUUGGACAAUGGGGGGAACCCUGAUCCAGCCAUGCCGCGUGUGUGAAGAAGGCCUUUUGGUUGUAAAGCACUUUAAGCGAGGAGGAGGCUACUGGUAUUAAUACUACCGGAUAGUGGACGUUACUCGCAGAAUAAGCACCGGCUAACUCUGUGCCAGCAGCCGCGGUAAUACAGAGGGUGCGAGCGUUAAUCGGAUUUACUGGGCGUAAAGCGUGCGUAGGCGGCUUUUUAAGUCGGAUGUGAAAUCCCUGAGCUUAACUUAGGAAUUGCAUUCGAUACUGGGAGGCUAGAGUAUGGGAGAGGAUGGUAGAAUUCCAGGUGUAGCGGUGAAAUGCGUAGAGAUCUGGAGGAAUACCGAUGGCGAAGGCAGCCAUCUGGCCUAAUACUGACGCUGAGGUACGAAAGCAUGGGGAGCAAACAGGAUUAGAUACCCUGGUAGUCCAUGCCGUAAACGAUGUCUACUAGCCGUUGGGGCCUUUGAGGCUUUAGUGGCGCAGCUAACGCGAUAAGUAGACCGCCUGGGGAGUACGGUCGCAAGACUAAAACUCAAAUGAAUUGACGGGGGCCCGCACAAGCGGUGGAGCAUGUGGUUUAAUCGAUGCAACGCGAAGAACCUUACCUGGUCUGACAUACAGAGAACUUUCAGAGAUGGAUUGGUGCUUUCGGGAACUCUGAUCCAGGUGCUGCAUGCUUGUCGUCAGCUCGUGUCGUGACUCGUGGGUUAAGUUCUGCAACGAGCGCAACCCUUUUCCUUACUUGCCAUCGGGUCAUGCCGGAACUUUAAGGAUACUGCCAAUGAC
rnacentral:rRNA from 1 species